rnacentral:rRNA from 1 species
CACGUAGUUAGCCGAUGCUUACUUUGCAGGUACCGUCAUUUGAUUCGUCCCUGCUUACAGAGGUUUACAUCCCGAAAGACUUCGUCCCCCACGCGGCGUCGCUCCGUCAGGCUUGCGCCCAUUGCGGAAAAUUCCCCACUGCUGCCUUCCGUAGAAGCCUGGGCCGUGUCUCAGUCCCAGUGUGGCUGAUCGUCCUCUCAGACCAGCUAUUGAUCGUCGCCUUGGUAGGCCUUUACCCCACCAACUAGCUAAUCAACCAUAGGCUCCUCUAAAAGCGAUUAAUCUUUCUUCGUAACUAUCUCAAGCUACGACAUUACGCGGUAUUAGCAUUCCUUUCGGAGUGUUGUCCCCCACUUUAAGGCAGAUUACCUAUGUAUUACUCACCCGUCCGCCACUAGCUCCGAAGAGCCCGUUCGACUUGCAUGUGUUAAGCACGCCGCCAGCGUUCGUUCUGUAGCGACGGAGUCAAACUAC